rnacentral:ncRNA from 1 species
AAUAUUAGUAUAUAAAAUAAAUUAUAUUAUGGUUUUUAAAUUAAUUGUAUUAAUAAUAUUAUAUAUAAAACAUAUAAUUAUUAAAAAUAAAAGAAAAAUUAUAUUUAAUAAAUAAUUCUGAAACAAUGAAUGAAAGUUCUAUUCGGAAAUUAAUUCUAGUAAAGAUAAAUAUGAGUGCCAGCAAUAGCGGUUAAACUCGAUUUAUAAAUUAAUUAAUUCUAAUAAAAUUAAUAUUAAAGGUAAAAUUAUAAUUAAAUAUAUUAGAUUUAAAGUGAAAUUUAGAAUUAAUCAUUAAUAAUUAUAAUUUACGAUGGUAGAAAUUAAAAAGUUUAGUAAAAAACUAGGAUUAGAUACCCUACUAUAAAAAGAUAAAUAAAAUUGUUAAGCUAUUAAAUGUUGAACCAUUAAAAUUAAAUAAUAUGGCGGCUUUUUAUAUCUAAUUAGAGAAACUUGUCGAUUAAUUUGAUAGUCCACGAUAAGAAAUACUUGAGUUAAAAUUUAUGUAUUGUUGUUUUAAUUAGCUUGAAUUAAUUUGGGUUAGAGAUAUUUUAGAUAAUAAUAAUUCAAAUCAAAAUGUAGUAUAUUCAAGGUUUAGAUGAGUUUCAAUAAAUUUAAUUUUUGGAAUAUUUAUUUUAAUAUAAAUAUGAAAGAGAAUUUAAAAGUAAAUUAAAGUAAUUUCUUUAAUUGAAGGUAGUUUUAAAAAGUGUACAAAUCGCCCGUCAAUUUCAUUUAAAAAUUGAAAUAAGUCGUAACAUAGUAAAAGUACUGGAAAGUGUUUUUAGAUUUU